UACGUAGGGUCCGAGCGUUGUCCGGAAUUAUUGGGCGUAAAGAGCUCGUAGGCGGUCUGUCGCGUCGGCUGUGAAAACCCGGGGCUCAACCCCGGGCCUGCAGUCGAUACGGGCAGACUAGAGUGUGGUAGGGGAGACUGGAAUUCCUGGUGUAGCGGUGAAAUGCGCAGAUAUCAGGAGGAACACCGGUGGCGAAGGCGGCCCGCUGGGCAGGAAGGCUCGCAAGAGCCGGCUGACGCUGAGGCGCGACAGCGUGGGGAGCGAACAGG
rnacentral:rRNA from 1 species